rnacentral:rRNA from 1 species
CCUACGGGAGGCAGCAGUGGGGAAUAUUGCACAAUGGGGGAAACCCUGAUGCAGCGACGCCGCGUGAGUGAAGAAGUAAUUCGUUAUGUAAAGCUCUAUCAGCAGGGAAGAAAAUGAUGGUACUUGAGUAAGAAGCCCCGGCUAAUUACGUGCCAGCAGCCGCGGUAAUACGUAGGGGGCAAGCGUUAUCUGGAUUUACUGGGUGUAAAGGGAGCGUAGACGGCAGGGCAAGUCUGGAGUGAAAGGCGGGGGCGCAACCCCCGGACUGCUCUGGAAACUGUACGGCUAGAGUGCAGGAGAGGGAAGUAGAAUUCCAGGUGUAGCGGUGAAAUGCGUAGAGAUUAGGAGGAACACCAGUGGCGAAGGCGGCUUACUGGACUAUGACUGACGUUGAGGCUCGAAAGCGUGGGGAGCAAACAGGAUUAGAUACCCCUGUAGUC